CAAGAUAUAUUUUAUUUAGAAUAUUAAUUUUGGAGAUUAAUGGUGAGAGAUUUCUCUAUUUUGA
rnacentral:tRNA from 1 species